AUUGAACGCUGGCGGCAGGCCUAACACAUGCAAGUCGAGCGCGAAAGUUCUUCGGAAUGAGUAAAGCGGCGGACGGGUGAGUAAUACAUGGGAAUCUGCCUGGUAGUGGGGGACAACGUUUCGAAAGGAACGCUAAUACCGCAUACGCCCUACGGGGAAAGGGGGGAUCGCAAGACCUCUCGCUAUCAGAUGGGCCCAUG
rnacentral:rRNA from 1 species